GACGAACGCUGGCGGCGUGCUUAACACAUGCAAGUCGAACGAUGAACUUGGAGCUUGCUCUGGGGGAUUAGUGGCGAACGGGUGAGUAACACGUGAGUAACCUGCCCUGGACUCUGGGAUAACUUCGAGAAAUCGGAGCUAAUACCGGAUAGGACCUUGCACCGCAUGGUGUGGGGUGGAAAGUUUUUCGGUUUGGGAUGGACUCGCGGCCUAUCAGCUUGUUGGUGAGGUAAUGGCUCACCAAGGCGUCGACGGGUAGCCGGCCUGAGAGGGUGACCGGCCACACUGGGACUGAGACACGGCCCAGACUCCUACGGGAGGCAGCAGUGGGGAAUAUUGCACAAUGGGCGCAAGCCUGAUGCAGCAACGCCGCGUGAGGGACGACGGCCUUCGGGUUGUAAACCUCUUUUAGUAGGGAAGAAGCGAAAGUGACGGUACCUGCAGAAAAAGCACCGGCUAACUACGUGCCAGCAGCCGCCGUAAGAC
rnacentral:rRNA from 1 species